UUACUUAUGAGAUUUGCUGAAUGCUUCA
rnacentral:sRNA from 1 species